CCUACGGGAGGCAGCAGUGAGGAAUAUUGGUCAAUGGCCGGAAGUCUGAACCAGCCAUGCCGCGUGCGGGAAGACGGCCCUAUGAGUUGUAAACUGCUUUUGUCCGAGGGUAAACCUGAAUACGUGUAUUCAGAUGAAAGUACUCUACGAAUAAGGAUCGGCUAACUCCGUGCCCGCAGCCGCGGUAAUACGGAGGAUCCAAGCGUUAUCCGGAUUUAUUGGGGUUUAAGGGUGCGUAGGCGGGUUGAUAAGGUGGAGGUGAAAUGUCCGGGCUUAACCCGGGAACUGCCUCUAAUACUGUUGAUCUAGAGAGUAGAAGAGGUAGGCGGAAUGCAUGGUGUAGCGGUGAAAUGCUUAGAGAUCAUACAGAACACCGAUUGCGAAGGCAGCUUACCAGUCUAUAUCUGACGUUGAGGCACGAAAGCGUGGGGAUCAAACAGGAUUAGAUACCCUUGUAGUC
rnacentral:rRNA from 1 species